rnacentral:rRNA from 1 species
UAAACUAGGAUUAGAUACCCUAUUAUAUCUAAACAAAUAAAGUAGUAAAUAAAUAAAACUAAUUUAAUUUGGCGGCAUUUCACCUAUUUAGAGGAAUUUGUCUAUUAAUCGAUAACCCACGUUUUUUUUCACUUUAAUCUAAAAUUUAUAUACCGCCAUCUUAAGAGUCAAUUUAAAAAUAUUCCUCCCAAUAAUUAAUAAAAAGUUAGGUCAAGGUGUAAUCUAUAUUAAAGAAUCAGAUGAAUUACAUUAAAUAAUAUUUAAGGCUUAUUUAUAUAAAUAUAUAAUACAAAUAAGGAUUUAAAAGUAAUACAUAAACAAUAA